CCUACGUGAGGCAGCAGUGAGGAAUAUUGGUCAAUGGGCGGAAGCCUGAACCAGCCAAGUCGCGUGAGGGAUUAAGGCCCUGCGGGUCGUAAACCUCUUUUGCCGGGGAGCAGAGGUCCGGACGUGUCCGGGCCGGGAGAGUACCCGGAGAAAAAGCAUCGGCUAACUCCGUGCCAGCAGCCGCGGUAAUACGGAGGAUGCGAGGGUUAUCCGGAUUUAUUGGGUUUAAAGGGUUCGUAGACGGUGCGCCAAGUCUGGAGUGAAAUGCCGCAGCUUAACUGCGGAACUGCUUUGGAAACUGGCGAACUAGAGUGCGAGAGGGGUAAGCGGAAUGCGUGGGGUAGCGGUGAAAUGCGGAGAGAUUAGGCGGAACACCGGUGGCGAAGGCGGCUUACUGGACCGUAACUGACGUUGAGGCUCGAAAGCGUGGGGAGCAAACAGGAUUAGAUACCCCAGUAGUC
rnacentral:rRNA from 1 species